CCUACGGGUGGCAGCAGUGAGGAAUAUUGGUCAAUGGGCGCGAGCCUGAACCAGCCACGCCGCGUGAAGGAUGACUGCUCUACGGGUUAUAAACUCCUUUUAUAAAGGAAUAAAGUGAGGCACGUGUGCCUUUAUGUAUGUACUUUAUGAAUAAGGAUCGGCUAACUCCGUGCCAGCAGCCGCGGUAAUACGGAGGGUCCGAGCGUUAUCCGGAUUUAUUGGGUUUAAAGGGAGCGUAGAGGGGUUGUUAAGUCAGUUGUGAAAGUUUGGGGCUCAACCGUAAAAUUGCAAUUGAUACUGGCAGCCUUGAGUACAGUUGAGGUAGGCGGAAUUCGUGGUGUAGCGGUGAAAUGCUUAGAUAUCACGAAGAACUCCGAUUGCGAAGGCAGCUUACUAAACUGCCACUGACGUUGAUGCUCGAAAGUGUGGGUAUCAAACAGGAUUAGAUACCCUAGUAGUC
rnacentral:rRNA from 1 species